UUUUUUUUUUUUUUUUUUUUUUCUUUUUUUUUUUCGCUGAACACCGUUGCAUAUCAUUAAAACAA
rnacentral:ribozyme from 13 species